AAUCAAGCGCGAGAAGGGCGUUUGGUGGAUGCCUUGGCAGUAAGAGGCGAUGAAGGACGUGGUACUCUGCGAUAAGUCAUGGGGAGCUGAGAACAGGCUUUGAUCCAUGAAUUUCCGAAUGGGGCAACCCACCUGACAGUUUGUUAUAAUAGCCGCAAGGCUGCUUAUAAUGGGCUGAAACAGGUACUUAUAGACUGAAUACAUAGGUUUAUAAGAGCAAACCCGGGGAACUGAAACAUCUAAGUACCCGGAGGAAAGGACAUCAAUAGAGACUCCCCUAGUAGCGGCGAGCGAACGGGGACCAGCCGAGUCCUGAGAGUGACCAGAACAAUCUGGAAAGAUUGGCCAUAGCGGGUGACAGCCCCGUAUGGGAAGCUCAAUGGAACGUAUUAAGUAGGGCGGAACACGUGAAAUUCUGUCUGAAGAUCGGGGGACCACCCCCGAAGGCUAAGUACUCCUUACUGACCGAUAGCGAACCAGUACCGUGAGGGAAAGGUGAAAAGCACCCCGACGAGGGGAGUGAAACAGUACCUGAAACCGAACGCCUACAAUCAGUCGGAGCUUGACUGGACUCUAAUAGCCGAAACUGAGUGCCAAACGCGCUCAAGUAGCCGAAGGCGGUAGCGCAAAAAGAAUGUUAUUAGUGUCCAGUCUUGUGACGGCGUACCUUUUGUAUAAUGGGUCAUCGACUUGGUCUAUCUAGCAAGCUUAAGCCGUUAGGUGUAGGCGCAGCGAAAGCGAGUCUUAAUAGGGCGUUGAGUUAGAUGGAUCAGACCCGAAACCGAGUGAUCUAGGCAUGACCAGGAUGAAGGUAAGGUAACACUUACUGGAGGUCCGAACCCACACCUGUUGAAAAAGGUCGGGAUGAGUUGUGCCUAGGGGUGAAAGGCCAAUCAAACUCGGAGAUAGCUGGUUCUCUGCGAAAUCUAUUUAGGUAGAGCGUCAUCCGAAUACCCCGGGGGGUAGAGCACUGGAUGGGUAAUGGGGCCCCACAGGCUUACUGAUCCUAACCAAACUCCGAAUACCCGGGAGUACUAGAUGGCAGACACACAGCGGAUGCUAACGUCCGUUGUGAAGAGGGAAACAACCCUGACCUACAGCUAAGGCCCCUAAUUCAUGGCUAAGUGGGAAAGCAGGUGGGACGACCAAAACAACCAGGAGGUUGGCUUAGAAGCAGCCAUCCUUUAAAGAUAGCGUAACAGCUCACUGGUCUAAACAAGUUGUCCUGCGGCGAAGAUGUAACGGGGCUCAAGCCAUGAGCCGAAGCUUAGGAUGCCGUAAGGCAUGGUAGCAGAGCGUAGUGUGACAUAGUUCCCUGUCUCUUUAGCGACUUCGGUCGUUACGGAGACGAGGAGCUUUCUGUGAAGCCCGGGCGUGAGCCAUCGGGUGGAGAGAUCACUAGUGAGAAUGAUGACAUGAGUAGCGACAAAGGGUGUGAGAGACACCCUCGCCGAAAGUCCAAGGGUUCCUGCUUAAAGCUAAUCUGAGCAGGGUAAGCCGACCCCUAAGGCGAGGCCGAAAGGCGUAGUCGAUGGGAACCAGGUUAAUAUUCCUGGGCCAGAUGGAAGUGACGGAUCUCGAAGGUUGUUCGUUCUUAUCGGAUUGAACGGGCCGCUUAGAGGUUCCUGGAAAUAGCUCCAUCGCUAGAUCGUACCCUAAACCGACACAGGUGGACUGGUAGAGAAUACCAAGGCGCUUGAGAGAACUAUGUUGAAGGAACUCGGCAAAAUACCUCCGUAAGUUCGCGAGAAGGAGGCCCGGUUUCUAGGCAACUAGAGGCUGGGGGCACAAACCAGGGGGUGGCGACUGUUUACUAAAAACACAGGGCUCUGCGAAGUCGUAAGACGACGUAUAGGGUCUGACGCCUGCCCGGUGCCUGAAGGUUAAAAGGAGGGGUGCAAGCUCUGAAUUGAAGCCCAGGUAAACGGCGGCCGUAACUAUAACGGUCCUAAGGUAGCGAAAUUCCUUGUCGGGUAAGUUCCGACCUGCACGAAUGGCGUAACGACUUCCCCGCUGUCUCCAACAUAGACUCAGCGAAAUUGAAUUGCCUGUCAAGAUGCAGGCUUCCCGCGGUUAGACGGAAAGACCCCGUGCACCUUUACUACAGCUUCACACUGGCAUUAGGCCGAACAUGUGCAGAAUAGGUGGUAGGCUUUGAAGCGGAGACGCCAGUCUUCGUGGAGCCUCCUUUGAGAUACCACCCUUGUUCUGCUUGAUGUCUAACCGCGGUCCGUUAUCCGGAUCCGGGACCCUGUGUGGCGGGUAGUUUGACUGGGGCGGUCGCCUCCUAAAGCGUAACGGAGGCGCGCGAAGGUUGGCUCAGAGCGGUCGGAAAUCGCUCGUUGAGUGCAAUGGCAGAAGCCAGCCUGACUGCAAGACUGACAAGUCGAGCAGAGACGAAAGUCGGCCAUAGUGAUCCGGUGGUCCCAAGUGGGAGGGCCAUCGCUCAACGGAUAAAAGGUACGCCGGGGAUAACAGGCUGAUACUGCCCAAGAGUCCAUAUCGACGGCAGUGUUUGGCACCUCGAUGUCGGCUCAUCUCAUCCUGGGGCUGGAGCAGGUCCCAAGGGUACGGCUGUUCGCCGUUUAAAGAGGUACGUGAGCUGGGUUUAGAACGUCGUGAGACAGUUCGGUCCCUAUCUGCCGUGGGUGUAGGAUACUUGAGAGGAGUUGCCCCUAGUACGAGAGGACCGGGGUGAACGAACCACUGGUGGACCAGUUGUCGUGCCAACGGCAGUGCUGGGUAGCUAUGUUCGGACAGGAUAACCGCUGAAGGCAUCUAAGCGGGAAGCCCCCCUCAAAACAAGGUAUCCCUGAGGGCCGUGGUAGACCACCACGUCGAUAGGCCGGAGAUGUAAGCGCAGCAAUGUGUUCAGUUGACCGGUACUAAUGGCCCGAUAGGCUUGAUUUG
rnacentral:rRNA from 1 species